UACGAAGGGGGCUAGCGUUGCUCGGAAUCACUGGGUGUAAAGGGUGCGUAGGCUGUCGGUUAAGUCUGAUGUGAAAUCCCUCGGCUCAACUGGGGAACUGCAUUGGAAACUAGCUGACUGGAGUACCGGAGAGGGAAGCGGAAUUCCUGGUGUAGCGGUGAAAUGCGUAGAUACCAGGAGGAACACCGGUGGCGAAGGCGGCUUCCUGGCCGAGUACUGACGCUGAGGCACGAAAGCGUGGGGAGCGAACGGG
rnacentral:rRNA from 1 species